GAUGAACGCUGGCGGCGUGCCUAAUACAUGCAAGUCGAGCGGUAAGGCCCUUCGGGGUACACGAGCGGCGGACGGCUGAGUAACACGUAGGAACGUACCCCAAACUGAGGGAUAAGCACCAGAAAUGGUGUCUAAUACCGCAUGUGGCCUUCGGGCUAAAGCUCCGGCGGUUUGGGAACGGCCUGCGUCCGAUUAGCUAGUUGGUAGUGUAAUGGACUACCAAGGCGACGAUCGGUAGCUGGUCUAAGAGGAUGAUCAGCCAGACUGGGACUGAGACGCGGCCCAGACUCCUACGGGAGGCAGCAGUAGGGAAUUUUCCACAAUGGGGGCAACCCUGAUGGAGCAACGCCGCGUGCAGGAUGAAGGCCUUCGGGUUGUAAACUGCUUUUAUCUGUGACGAUUAUGACGGUAGCAGAUGAAUAAGGACCUGCUAACUACGUGCCAGCAGCCGCGGUAA
rnacentral:rRNA from 1 species